CUGCAUUGUGUGUUAUCGCAUAAUGUUAUUUCCAAUUUAAAAACGGCCUGACAGCUAUGUGUGUUAAAGCCAGAGAGGUGUCUGGAGGUCAGCGACACAGUAUUGUAUGUAAUCGUAUCUUUACUUUCACACUGCAGGCAGCCACGAUCCAGUGAUUUAAUACUUACAAAGGGAUACCAAAAGGUGACGUGAAAACCUGCAGACUACUGAUUGGUCAGCGCCAUAACAGCUGACGGGCAAACGAGACCAGUGCGUUGAAUAACAGCAGACGCUUUGCUUCAGUUAUGAAUGAAUAACAAGGUUCAGGAAUGCAUACCUUUGCUGUGAGAGCAUUUCUACUCGUCAAUGUACUCAAACGGCUCGGGUGGCUCUGGCUCCUGCUCUUCCUCCUCUAUUUUGGGGCCGUGA